AACACUCUGGAUCAGAACUUCCUGUGCCACCGUUACAUCAGGCUUUUCUAGCAGCAAGGGCGGGCUCCACAUGGCUGAAGCAGGCAACCAGGAGGACCAGCUCCUUCCUGAAGACACCAAUUCUUGGCGGCUCCUGACAAGGAUUGAGAGGAUUUGUGGGGGACAGCCCUGAAGCCCUGAGCCCUCAACUCAAUGAAGGGAUUGUGCUGGUGUAGACCCACAGCCAUCCAGCUCUGUCACUGAUGAAGGUCUGAACUGCCAUACUCUGCCCCUUUGGUGUCAGCCUUAAAGGUCGGUUUUAGGACCAGGCUUCCUGUCAAGAGACUGAGGACCCAGGAAGAAACAUGUCUCAGCCCCUGUCCCCCUCCACAAUUCAGAGGCCACAUUCUAACAGGGGAGGCCGACCAAUUAAACAGAUAAUGACACCUCCUAGAGCUAAGAGCUCUCCGACUAUGAACCAGAUGCCUGGAGAACACGGAUGAAUGGUCUGAGCAUGAGCAGCGGUGGGAGGCAGCGUUAAGGGAGGCAUCAGAGUCAGAACCUGGCAAACAAGUGUUUGUGAAGAAGAAUUCAUAGAAAAGGGCAAUGCGGGCAUCACAUGGGCUAAGGAACAGAGGGGUAGCAGUAGCUGUUGUGCCAAGCUGCAGGUGUUAUACACUACCCUCUAGAUCUGGGUUUCCUUAAAACACCUUGAGAGGACAACCCUGCAAAGCGCGGCACAGUGGCCAAGAGGGAAAGGAGCAUUAGAGGUCUCAGUCCUCGCUCUGAGCCUACUUCUCUGCUUCUGGGCUCCAGCCAUCUUUGUGGAAAGGGGGCUGCUAGUGACACCCUCUCAAGGGUCUUUCCAGCUCUAGGUCGGCUGUGCUGGAGUCUAGGAUUUGCCCACUGAGAAAUCUGUUUCCAAGUUCCUUCAACCUGAUGCAUCCUGCAGCAUCACGGCAGCUGUUCAGAGUGGUCAGAAGGCCCCUGAAUGAGCUCAGUAGAGGGAAGCCUGGGAACAGGGAGGCACCUGCAGCUCUACUCAUGGCCUGGCCAGAGCUCAGCAACUCUUCUCUGCCAUCUAGUGGGGAUGGCAUACCAUCACUGGGGACCACCCUGUGCAAACUGGUGAGCCUGAGUGCCUGUCACAGAGGGAAAGAAAGGCGGGGGAUACAGGAUUUAGAUGAAAUAGCAACUCCUACCCUAUUGUCAAAAUCAUCCAGCUUUUUCAAAACAUCAUAUUGUACUGAUUUUUUUUUUUUGUUUUUGACAGAGUCUUGCUGUGUCACCAAGGCUGGAAUGCAGUGGCAUGAUCUCGGCUCACUGUAGCCUCUGUCUCCCUGGUUCAAGCAAUUCUGCCCCAGCCUCCCAAGUAGCUGGGACUACAGGCAUGCGCCACCACACCCAGCUAAUUUUUGUAUUUUUUUAGUAGAGUCAGGGUUUUACCACUUUGGCCAGGCUGGUCUUAAACUCCUGGCCUCAACUGAUCUGCCUGUCUCGGCCUCCCAAAGAACUGGGAUUACAGGCAUGAGGCACCGUGCCUGUCCCAUGUUGUACUUA
rnacentral:lncRNA from 1 species